AAAAACGUUUUGCGUUAGUGCAUUAUUGGAUGUAUAAAUAAUUUGCGAUCGGCUAUACUGCCACAAUAUCGAACCAAUGUCGACGUCGUCAGUGAAUGUUUCAACAACGCAAUCAGUGCCCACGUUGACGUCAGCAUACGAUAGCGUCUCGACGUCAUCGAAGGCGGUCGGGACUACAAUGAUGUGCGUCAUCAUAUUCAUAACCAUUGUGGGCAACGUUUGCCUCUUUGCUGUUGUGCUGAGGUCAAAGGCACUUCGUAAUCUGACUAACAUGUUCAUCCUUGGCUUGGCAACUGCAGAUCUGCUCGUUGGUCUGACACAAAUGCCAAUCACGGUGUACACGAUAAUCAAGGGUCGAUGGGAAUUUCCGCACAGCGCAUGCGUAGUCUUUAGGUUCAUGAACAUGGUAACACUGGUUACGAGCAUCUUGUCGUUAUGUAACAUUUCUAUAAAUAGA